AACGAACGCUGGCGGCAUGCCUAACACAUGCAAGUCGAACGAGACCUUCGGGUCUAGUGGCGCACGGGUGCGUAACGCGUGGGAAUCUGCCCUCUGGUACGGAAUAACUCAGGGAAACUUGAGCUAAUGCCGUAUAAUGACUUCGGUCCAAAGAUUUAUCGCCUGAGGAUGAGCCCGAGUCGGAUUAGCUAGUUGGUGAGGUAAAAGCUCACCAAGGCGACGAUCCGUAGCUGGUCUGAGAGGAUGAUCGGCCACACUGGGACUGAGACACGGCCCAGACUCCUACGGGAGGCAGCAGUGGGGAAUAUUGGACAAUGGGCGAAAGCCUGAUCCAGCAAUGCCGCGUGAGUGAUGAAGGCCUUAGGGUUGUAAAGCUCUUUUACCCGGGAUGAUAAUGACAGUACCGGGAGAAUAAGCCCCGGCUAACUCCGUGCCAGCCGCCGCCGUAAAAC
rnacentral:rRNA from 1 species